rnacentral:hammerhead_ribozyme from 1 species
AUCCAGAUGAUGAGUCUCAAAUAAGACGAAAUGGCGUGCAUCUUGGAU